UUUUUUUACUGGAGAAGUUAAGCAAUAUGACGCCUAAUAGAUUGUUAAUUUUUGCAAUUGUUCUUUUAAUGAUUAUUUCCAUGGUGAGCUCACAAAAACGAAGAAAAAUUUAAACAAAACUGGGAAACGGUAUAAAUGUCAAUCUGAAAAAUGUAUUUGGUAUCUAGGAGGCGGUAAUUGGUGCUGGUCAAACACCAACGGAUCAAAACAAUCGGUAGCCUGUAAAACUGAUGAUGAUUGCAUCAAUGUAAAAAGGUGUGAUCGUUCGCGAGGGCUUAUACAAAUUGAUUGAAAAUUUUUUUUAGAUAAAAUCAUUAAAAAUUUUAUGUAAAAUUUUUAGCGUCAGUAGAUUAAAUACAAAAUAUUUUUUUGUUCAAAAUUU
rnacentral:lncRNA from 1 species